rnacentral:tRNA from 1 species
UAGAAGUUAGUUUAAAUAAAAAUGUUUGACUGUUAAUCAAAAGACAUAUCUUCUAG